rnacentral:tRNA from 1 species
CCGACCUUAGCUCAGUUGGUAGAGCGGAGGACUGUAGUUGACACAGAUAAUCCUUAGGUCACUGGUUCGAAUCCGGUAGGUCGGA